rnacentral:rRNA from 1 species
GACGAACGCUGGCGGCGUGCUUAACACAUGCAAGUCGAACGGCAAGGCCCUGCUUUUUUGCUGUUCUCGAUUGGCGAACGCGUGCGUAACACGUGAGUAACCUGCCCUUCACUUUCGUAUAACUUCAGGAAACUGAGGCUAAUCCCGUAUCGGAUCUCCUGCUGCAUGGUGGGGGUUGGAUCGUUUCGGCGGGUGGGGAUGGACUCGCGGCUUAUCAGCUUGUUGGUGGGGUAGUUGCUUACCAAGGCUUUGACGGGUAGCCGGCCUGGGAGGGUGACCGGGGUCAAGAGGACUGAGAGACGGACCAGAGGGCAACGGUAGGCAGUAGGGGGGAGUAUUGCACAAUGAGCGGAAGUGUGAGGAGGCAGCGUUGCGGGCGUGAAGACGGUCUGCGGGGAAUAAACCGCAUUAGCCUGAGACGAAGCGUGAGUGACGGUAAUGGAUAAAGAAGCACCGGCUAACUACGUG